rnacentral:tRNA from 1 species
AGGAUAGUAGUUAAAUUAUAACAUUUAAUUUGCAUUUAAAAAGUAUUGAUCAUCAAUUUAUCUUA